rnacentral:antisense_RNA from 1 species
AGAAGUAGGACUGUGAUCUGGGUGGGUGACAGCCUGGGUGAGGAGAGACUCCCACACAGGAGUCAUCAGCCACAGCAUCCACUGUGCAGAACCUCAAAAUGUGUCCCAUGCCCCCUCUGAAUUGACCAUAAACUUGGACACAUCAAGUCCGCUUCCUUAGACUCAGAGCCCCUAUAGCACAUAUACGCACGAUCUCCAAGGAGAAGUACACAGUAUUAGAUGAGUUCAGCUUACCUUUCGGCUAUUAACAAUUAAUUCGUGCUGCCAUUGUGUUUUUAUAAAAAAGACGUUCUUUUCCACCUCUCUCCCAUUCAUCAUGUUCAAUAGAGCUCAGCUCUGUGAUCAGGAAACCAAUUGUAAAGUCCAGAAUGAGGACAUGGGCUCUACAUGGUGUGGAAUGGCAGUGAGAUGGGCUACGACUUCAGAACUCAACUGAUCACACACAGGAGGGAGAAGAACAACCAAGCUGGGCUUCAAGAUGCCUUAUUUGGACACUAGUUUUUGAUGUGUCUCUGAUGGUUAUUAACCAGACAUUUCAAGGGCAAGAAACUAUUUCCCCAAAACUACCUUUUGAGACAUUUCCAGAGGCUGCCCUGUCCUCUCUAUCCAGAGACUCAGCCCCGACUCACCUCCUCUGGGAAGUCUCCCACAUGGACCUCGCUCUGCUCCCUCCUCCUCACGGCUGACCCUGCUGGGUCGUCCUGCCAGCUCGGACACUUGUUUGUUGUGGCUUUUGUAAAAUACUCUGUAGUCA